CUUACAGAGACGUGUUGCCAGUUAAAGUCUACAAAAGUUUAUUUUUAAAUAGUUGAAAAAAGUCAUUAGUUAUUCUAUGAGAGGAAAAUGGGACAGCGCCAGAAUGUGACCGUCUCCAGCUCCACCAAUGCUGGUCCUAGAACAAAAUUACUAUUAAACAAUUGUAAAAAUGUAUGAAUUGAGCAGGUAACACCCUACUUAUCUGCAGGCAAGUGCACAGCAAACCACCAAACAGCGCCUCCCAAUGAUACAGCCCCGACAGGAACACUACUCUAAAAAGAAAGAGCACAGAGACCACAUUAGGGCAUUGGAUAUCCAGACACAUCAGGUCGUCUUAUAGGAAGUUGGGGCAGUUAUUAAAAUGCACCCAAAGAGGAAACUAAACAAACCUGUCAGCCGAGUGCCAGGGAUUAGUUACGGUACCAUCCGGUAGAGCAACCGUUGCGUACUGGCCCAAGUCACAAUACAGGUUAAAGUGAGGUGACUUAGGCUGAAACAGGUAUAUGGGAGAAAUACAGGUCACCCUGCCACACACACACACACGCAUAUAUAUAUGAGAUAAAAUCGUAAUCUUAGUAGUUACUGUUGACAUUAUUUUGGUAACAAUGUAUACUUUUGAAGAUUUUAAACAUUUUUAUGUGGUGUCUUUUGUGAAUAGAUUUGCCAGCUAUGACCACCUGAUGGCAUUUUGGUCUUUGAUCGAGCCUUGUCUAUACAAGAUGGUCCGUGUCUCCAGAGCCAAAUCAGCUGCCCAGAAAAACGAAGAAGUGGUCGCACCUGCACGUGCAUCAACGGUACUUUAUAAGUAGUUACAGAUGUAAUUAUACGUGAUUUCAUUGCAUUUGUAUUUGUUUGAGCUAUCCUUUUUUUAUUUUCCUCUCAGAGACAGCUGCUCCAGCCCAUAGAUGAACUCUUUCUUUUUCUUAACUAUCUUUCGGCUGGAUUGAAGGAGAGAGACCUGGCAAAUCGCUUUAGAAUUCACCAGUCCACAGUGAGCCGCAUCAUUGCCACAUGGACUUGUUUUCUGGCCACAGCACUAGGGUCUAUUUGCAUUUGGCUCACACCUGCAGAGGUACAGGCUUACCUCCCGGAGGAAUUCCGUGAUUACCCGGACACCCAGAUGCCAGCAUGCCAGGUGAAGGAGACACAGGCCAUAGCCAGAUUGCGGGUGCACGUAGAGCGUGUCAUUCGGAGGAUAAAGGAGAACCGGCUUUUUGAUGGCACCAUCACCCUGUCAAAUGCGUACAAUAUCAAUGAAAUAUUUGCAGUUGCCUGUCUGCUGUCAAAUUACCAAAACAAGGCACUCGUCAAAAAAUGGGUUAAGUGAUUAAAUAAAGAGAAUAUUAUUGCCUUUCAUGAAAUGC
ensembl:lncRNA